rnacentral:rRNA from 1 species
CUACGGGUCGCUGCAGUGAGGAAUAUUGCACAAUGGGGGAAACCCUGAUGCAGCAACGCCGCGUGGAGGAUGACGCAUUUCGGUGUGUAAACUCCUUUUAUAUGUCAAGAAAAUGACGGUAGCAUAUGAAUAAGCACCGGCUAACUCCGUGCCAGCAGCCGCGGUGAAUACGGAGGGUGCAAGCGUUACUCGGAAUCACUGGGCGUAAAGGACGCGUAGGCUGGUUGGUAAGUCAGGUGUGAAAUCCUACAGCUUAACUGUAGAACUGCACUUGAAACUACCAACCUAGAGUAUGGGAGGGGGAGAUGGAAUUAGUGGUGUAGGGGUAAAAUCCGUAGAUAUCACUAGGAAUACCGAAAGCGAAGGCGAUCUCCUGGAACAUAACUGACGCUAAGGCGUGAAAGCGUGGGGAGCAAACAGGAUUAGAUACCCGAGUAGUC